AAGAUAUUAAGUUAAUAAGACUGUGGCACUUCAAAUGCUAAAGUGAAUAUGUUAUUCAUAUCUUG
rnacentral:tRNA from 1 species